rnacentral:lncRNA from 1 species
AUGAAAAAGGCGAACAAGCUUCGAGCGCUUCCCUUCCCCGCGCGAAUGAGGACCUGCGAUGCACAUGCCGGGGCUUUGCUUUGCAUCGUCUGUGGGCGAUGGGAACCGUGUUUGCGAAGGGGGCGGCUCUGCUUUGCUCUUUCAUGUUCACAACCGGAAUCUGUCCGUCCCCGCAUCCCCAGGCAGGGGCGCCAGGGCUCUCCUCCCUCACCCCUCUCUACCCACCCCUCCUUCCUUCCCCCAGCUCUCCCGAACCCAAGGGGGACUGUGCUGCGUUCUGAGGCGGGACAGGGCACAGAGGCUGGCUGGGUCGGGGGAGAGUGGGAUGGGGCACAGGUGAGCUGGAGGAGCCGGUUAAGGACGAGGACAAUCCCCCCCAGGGUUGCCGAGAGACAAGGCGGGACGCAACUGCAGGAUGAAGGAGGGGACGGCGGUGGGGUGGAGCGAGACGCAGCCGGGACGAGGGGCGCUCGGAACGGCGGGACGGGCAGGGAGCACAAAGGAGCCGGUGGCGAGGGAAGAGGGCGACGGGUGGGAGGGGUGCGGGGGCUGAGGGGGGCGGACGGGGAGAGGGCGCGGGCUGAGGGGAGGGGGUCAGCGGGUUACCCCGAGGACUGGGCCUCCCCCCGCCGCAGGGAGGGGGAGUCCCCGCGUCCCGGCCGCCGGUGCAGGGUCCGCGCUCAGCCCCGCCGCCAUCGAGGAGCCGCCGCCAUUCGCCAGCCCGGCAACCAGUGCCGCACCCCGCCCCCGGCCCGCGCCCAAUCGGCCGCCGCCAUGCUGGGCCGGCGGACAGCCGCCCAAUUGGAAACGGCCUCUGAGGCCCAUGGGUCAUGUGAGCGGGCAAGAUGGCGGCGCCCACGAGGAGGGCGUGAGGUAGGCGGAGCCAUGUUGUGGGCGUCGGGAGCGGCCCGACGGGGGCGGCGGAGCCGGGUGUUCCCGGACAGCUCAAGGUCGGAGCUUGAGCUCGGCGGUGUGGCCAGGAGGGUAAGCGCUGUGCGGGGGCGGCGGCUGCACAGGUUUGGGACCCUCCUGAGACGGCCUGGAGUGAUCCCGGUGAGAUCCUGCCCGCUUGUCCUGCUUUCUCCGUUCCUGCAUCCUGCCAAGCCCCAACCGGAACAGGCACAGUCCUAUAGGCAGGACUUACGACUGAGCUUUCACGUCAUAAAAGUAACUUAA